rnacentral:rRNA from 1 species
GAUGAACGCUGGCGGCGUGCCUAAUACAUGCAAGUCGAGCGAACGGACGAGAAGCUUGCCUCUCUGAUGUUAGCGGCGGACGGGUGAGUAACACGUGGAUAACCUACCUAUAAGACUGGGAUAACUUCGGGAAACCGGAGCUAAUACCGGAUAAUAUUUUGAACCGCAUGGUUCAAAAGUGAAAGACGGUCUUGCUGUCACUUAUCGAUGGAUCCGCGCUGCAUUAGCUAGUUGGUAAGGUAACGGCUUACCAAGGCAACGAUGCAUAGCCGACCUGAGAGGGUGAUCGGCCACACUGGAGCGGGGACACGGUCCAGAGUCCUACGGGAGGCAGCAGUAGGGAAUCUUCGGCAAUGGGCGAAAGCCUGACGGAGCAACGCCGCGUGAGUGAUGAAGGUCUUGGGAUCGUAAAACUCUGUUAUUAGGGAAGAACAGAUGUGUAAGUAACUGUGCACAGCUUGACGGUACCUAAUCAGAAAGCCACGGCUAACUACGUG